GAUGAACGCUGGCGGCGUGCCUAAUACAUGCAAGUCGAGCGAACGGACGAGAAGCUUGCUUCUCUGAUGUUAGCGGCGGACGGGUGAGUAACACGUGGAUAACCUACCUAUAAGACUGGGAUAACUUCGGGAAACCGGAGCUAAUACCGGAUGAUAUUUUGAACCGCAUGGUUCAAAAGUGAAAGACGGUCUUGCUGUCACUUAUAGAUGGAUCCGCGCUGCAUUAGCUAGUUGGUAAGGUAACGGCUUACCAAGGCAACGAUGCAUAGCCGACCUGAGAGGGUGAUCGGCCACACUGGAACUGAGACACGGUCCAGACUCCUACGGGAGGCAGCAGUAGGGAAUCUUCCGCAAUGGGCGAAAGCCUGACGGAGCAACGCCGCGUGAGUGUUGAAGGUCUUCGGAUCGUAAAACUCUGUUAUUAGGGAAGAACAUAUGUGUAAGUAACUGUGCACAUCUUGACGGUACCUAAUCAGAAAGCCACGGCUAACUACGUG
rnacentral:rRNA from 1 species